ensembl:lncRNA
GAUUAUUUUGGAAUAUGGUUCUUCAGUACCAUCUGAAAGUGAUCAGAUUUCUGUAGUUGAGGCAAAAUUGUCCUGACAUCAUAUUGGUUUAUGUUAUCUGAAACUCUUAGCUUGUGCUGAGCCUCACUGACAAAAAGGAGGGUCUAGUGGAAAUGCUAAGUCACAGCUUGAAACAGUGAUUGAACACCUAGGUAGGAAGGCAGGGCCAACUCAGGGGAUGCAUUGCAUGCACCUGAGUGACCAGAAGGGGUGGAGCCAGGAUCCACCCCUUCCCAGACCUCAUUUAAGGGUUGGCAGUGGAGGCAAGGGCAUGUCUUACUGAAGAUCCCUGUCUACCUGAGGCCUUCCAAAGGAUACUGCAACACACCCAGCUCUAUUCAUGGAAGAGAAAACAGUCUACUUUACCUCCACAGGAGUACCUCUUGGGUAUUAUUUCUGCUCUUUUUUGGAGAGAAAUUGAACACACAGGAAGAAAAUUAUGUACAUGCUGAACUACAAAAGAAAAUCUUGAACAAAAAUGACUGAACAGAAGGAAAAGGGAAAAAAUCAGUUUCUCUGUGGGUUGCUGCUGUGCCUCUGGUGCUCAUCAAUAAUCUUCCAGAGCGAUAAUCUGAGACUCAUCCCCAAAAAGGCUCAAUCAGUAAGCCGGUAAAUUGAGUGUUACAAAUUCACUGUGAUAGCAGAAUAUGGGAUGCCAAACUUCAGAUCCAGAUUCUGAAAUGGAUCAUUGUGGUAUAUAUGUUCGAAGAUCCCUUCUUCUGUAAAACAUAAGUUAAGCUACUGUUCUCAUACUGGAGAGCUCCUGGAAAUCAUUUUGGAAUCAGAAAUUCUUUCUGUGUAAAAAAUUCGAGACUUCCUGCAGCUGUGGGAUAUAAGCCAGCAGACAGGAGAUUCGGCCUUUCUUGCCAACUCCUGCACAGUGCAUGGUAGUAGAAAGACCCAUAACAUUGUCCAAUCUUGAUGUGGAUCUUUUCCACUUAAGAAACAUGGCAGCAUUGAGUGUUAGCCCCCAGAACAUAAAAAGAAAUGAAAAUAUUCAGUUAUUCAGGACAGCUACGUGUAAAGAUUUUUCACAGUUUUUCCAUGAAGAGGAAGAAAUAUCAGACAUGGCAGCUGGCCCACUUACUCCUCUGUCUGGCAUGUCUCUUCUCAUUUACCCUAUAGCGUGGUUCUGAACCACACAUUUGGGCUUCAUCAAACUGAUGGUACCAGAUGAGCAUCCCAAGCUCUUGCCCCAGACAAAGAAGAGCUGAUCACAGAAUGGCUAUUCCCAGAACAAUCAGAGUCACAGAACUGUAGGUGUUGGAAGGGACCUCUAGAGACUCCUCCUGCCAAAGCAGGCUCCCUAGACCAUUUUACACAGGUAGGCAUCCAGGUGGGUCUUGAAUGUCUCCAGAGAAGGAGAAUCCACAACCUCCCUCAUCAGCCUAUUCCAGUGUUCCAUCGCCCUCACCAUGAGGAAUUUCCUUUGCAUAUUGGUGGAACUUUCUAUGCUGAAGUUUUUGGUCAUUUCCCCUUCUUCUGUCCCCACAGACCACUGAAAAGAAGUUGGCCGUGUCCCUUUGUCUCCCACACUUAAGAUAUUUAUAAAUAUUAAUAAGAUCCCAUCUGAGUUUUCUUUUCUCAAGGCUGAACAGAUCCAGGUCACUCAGCCUUUCCUCAUAAGAGAGGUGCUCCAGGCCCUUUAUCAUCUUUGUGGCCUUCUGCUGGACUCCUUCCUGGAGAUCCCUGUCUUUUUUGUACCAGGGAGCUCAGAACUGAAUAUAGUACUCCAAGCGAGGCCUGACCAGGGUGGAGAAGAGGGGGAAGAUCACCUCCCUUGACCUGCUGGCCAUGCUCCUUUUAAUGAACCCCAGGAUCCCAUUGGCCUUCUCGGCCACCAGGGCACCUUGCAGGCUCAUGGCCAACCUGUCAUCCACCAGGAAACCCAGGUCCUUCUACGCAGAGCUCCUCUCCAGCAGGUCAUGUCCCUGCCUGUACUUGUAGUUAUUCCUUCCCAGGUGCAAGACUCUAUACCUGCUUUUAUUAAACCUCAUCUGGUUUCUUGCUGCCCAGCUCUCCAGUCUGUCCAGGUCUUGCUGAAUGACAGCACAGCCUUCCAGUGUGUCAGCCACUUCUCCCAGGUUUGUAUCAUCAGUGUACUUGCUGAGAGUGGACACUAUCCCCUCAUCAAGGUCAUCAGUGAAAAUAUUCAACAAGACCAGACUCAGCACCAACCCCUGGGGAACACUGCUAGUCACAGGUCUCCAACCAGACUCUGCACCGCAGAUCACCACACUCUAAGCUCGGCCAGUCAGCCAGUUCUCAACCCACCUCACCAUCCACUCAUCUAUCCCACAGUCUCAGCUUUGUUACCAGACUGUCAUGGAAGAUUAUCAAAAGCCUUGCUGAAGUCAAGGUAGACGAAAUCCACUGCUCUCCCCCAUCUACCCAGUCAGUGAUGCCAUCAUAGAGAGCAUGAUAGAGUUGAGCAUGAUUUUCCCUUGGUGAAUCCAUGCAGACUAUUCCUGAUGAUCUUCUUCUCUUACAAUUGCUAGGAGAUGGCAUCUAGAACAAGCUGUUCCAUCACCUUUCCAGGGACAGAGCACAAAAGCCAAGCUACCACAGGAUGGGCUUGCUGGUCAUCAGGAGUACCUGUGAGUUGUAGCACUCAACAUUUAGCCCUUACCUGAACACUUUCCUAACAUAUGCUGUACAGUGCACUGCUUUCUGUAAUCAAGUUUGUGCUAGCCAAUCUAUUCCGCAUCCAAAGACACAGUACAAAGACACUAGACAGUUAUUAAGUCUAGUUAAGACAGUUAAUAACUGUCUAGUGAUUGCUACAUUUACUCAGUAUCUUCCACUCCUUACUGGUAUUUAAGUACUAUAGUCAGCAGGGCACUAGUCUAUAAAAUCAAUAAGGUUUUACGCCUCUGCCCACACAUAGGCUUCUUCAUUAGAGAUGUCUUGUGAUGUCCAAGGACAUACGUAUGCUAUAGGACCUGCAGGAGAUCAGUACUCAUCCAGAGCAGCUGCUGAAGGUCAUCUAGCAUACCUUAGAACAUUAAAUUCUUGUGUAUAACCAGCUGUAGGGUUACUGACGGAGUCUACAGAUAUUAAGCUGACCAUUGCUAUCGGCUGAAGGAGUGAAG